rnacentral:rRNA from 1 species
ACAGCAGUAGCCGCGGUAAGAAAGAGGAUGCAAGCGUUAUCCGGAAUGAUUGGGCGUAAAGCGUCUGUAGGUGGCUUUUCAAGUCCGCCGUCAAAUCCCAGGGCUCAACCCUGGACAGGCGGUGGAAACUACCAAGCUGGAGUACAGUAGGGGCAGAGGGAAUUUCCGGUGGAGCAGUGAAAUGCGUUGAGAUCGGAAAGAACACCUACGGUGAAAGCACUCUUCUAGGCCGACACUGACACUGAGAGACAAAAGCCAGGGGAGAAAAUGGGAUUAGAUACCCCUGUAGUCCCUGUCUCUUAUAC